rnacentral:rRNA from 1 species
UACGUAGGUGGCAAGCGUUGUCCGGAUUUAUUGGGCGUAAAGAGCGCGCAGGCGGUACGUCAAGUCCGAGGUGAAAUCUCCCGGCUCAACUGGGAGGGGUCUUCGGAUACUGGCGAACUUGAGGAGAGCAGAGGUGAGUGGAAUUCUGGGUGUAGUGGUGAAAUGCGUAGAUAUCCAGAGGAACACCAGCGGCGAAGGCGGCUCACUGGGCUCCACCUGACGCUGAGGCGCGAAAGCGUGGGGAGCGAACCGG